GGUGGGGGAGCCUACAAAAACAAGCUGGGGAUAAAUAGCUGCUGCUGCUGACGAAAGUAGGCCGCUUCUCUCAGUGCUAUUCCAUGAGAAGGUCACAGGCUUGUCCUCACAGAGCCAGGGAUAGUGAUCACUAGAGAAGAGAGGCGAGGAACACUGAAAUGCCCAGACUUUGGGAUUCCCAAAUGAGAUCAAGGACCAGCAGAAUCUGUUUAUCUGGCUUGCAGUCCUCCUCCAUGGGCAGGCUGUGCCUGCACACCAUCCUGCACUUCUACAGUACUUUCCCCCAAGCAGCCUUUCCUCCCUAUAAUCUUCCACUUAUGGGCAUUUUCAUACUCAGAACAGGAAGUAGUCAGUUUUUUGGGAAAGGCCAUUUACCUGUGGAGUAAGAGGAC
rnacentral:lncRNA from 1 species